UAUUAAAGACAUACAUAGAAACAAGUGACAUUAGAGCAGCCUUCUCAGACAGAGGCGGACACUGUCCCAUCCUGGGGCAUAUCUGAAUCUGGAAGGCACUUUUCUCCCAGAGAAUCCCCUGCAGGGAGAAGUCUGUGCCUGUGACUCACGCAGCUGCAGACAGAAGCUUGCGAGCCCCUUCUUGGAGAAAGAAUGGAUUCUUAACGCAGCGUCCCUGCCAGUGAGCACUGGGAUGAGAAGAGAGGCCACAGCUCUGCUUCUGCUUGGAGGUGGGAAGACUGAGGCUUAGUGAGGCUCAUGGCUUGUCCAAGGUCCCACAGUAAAUGGGAGAAUGGAACCGUCCUGUUUUGGCAUCAAGGGCAGUCGCCUGCAGGUGCUGAAACUGAGGUUUGGAGGAAAAUGAAGAGAAGACUCCACGGAAGAGGAGAUGGAUCCGGGCCCAGACCUCCCCUCCCCACUGGCCGCAGGGUAUUGAAAGUGCUGGACUUAGACCUUUAUCUGCUCUGCAUCUGAUGUUCUGGAGAGUUCUGAAAGCCCCUCGGCUGCUGCAGGAGAUGUGAAUGAAUUUCCUGAGCAAGUCCACUCCCUGGACCAACACUUUAAAGAAUUUUGGGGAUUUGCUCAGAAUCCUAAGACGAGGUCUGAGAGCCCAGGGCUACCAGGUCAAGCACACUUCUUCUAAGACAGCCUGGUAAAAGUGACUUCACUGGCCAGGACACCCUCAUUGACCAGAGGGGAUUCAGUGGGUGCUGUGCGUGAGUGUUGGGAGGGAGGGGAAGGGGGAGAAGGAUAAACUUGAAAUGGUGGGGCAGGGCAGGUAGAAAUCCAAAGGCAUCCUUAAUAUUAGGUAUUUUUUUGUGGUCAUGUUAACUUUUAGGCUUAAAGCACACUCCCUAAGUAGAAGUGAUGGCUUAGGAGCCUUGGGAAUUAGAAGUAACUGUCUUGGCAUAAAAUGAUCAAGUCACAAGCAGAAGCAUGGGAAGAAGCCAGGACCCAGGCCAGGACAACCUGACUGAGCUGUGACUCAGGUCUCAUCUUCCCUCCUGUCUUGGAAGUGGCAGCCACCAUCCUUCAUACAGUGUCCCUCCCCUGGCAAAGUCCUGACCCCGUUAUGUCCUGAACCCAAAGUCAGUUGCUCUAAUGCAACAGAGCAUCCUCCUUCUGAGCACUGAAAGAUGACUAGCCAGCGCUCAGAGCUGACACUAAGCCUCCAAUAAUUAGCUUAAAAUAUGCUCCCAGACUGAUGGACACUCUGGGAAUCCAGAUGGGACACAUUAGAAAAUAAAGGAGAUGACUCAAAUCUGAGAAAAAUGAUUUUUGACUGGAAUAAAAAAAAUGUCCUGUGGGGAGGGCUGCUGUUUAUGCUGCAUCUUGUUCAACCUGGGAGGGCUUCAUGGAGGAAGGAGGCUGGAGGGAAUAGGAGGGAGGCUGUGAACUGAAAGAACUGGAGGUGGGGUGGUGCUGAGGGCUCAGAGAGGUGAAACUCUGCUCUCUCUGCUGGAUCCCCCCAUGAGUCCCCACUGAAGUGGCUCGGGUUGCCAUUCAAAGGAUGGUUCUGUGGGGUGAAACCUCUCAUGGUCCAGUGGGUGGCACUUUUGUUGAUUUUACUCUUGAUGACACACUUUCUCCCACAAUCGUUUCCUGGCAUAGAGACGAGGAGGUGCUUCACUGAUCUGCAGGCCUGGCCAACGGAAUAUGAAACCGAUCUACGUGCCAAUUUGGGGGUGAUGGGAGCUGAAGAAUGACUUCAAUGGGAUCAUUUGGGAUGUUCCGUACUAGAAUCACUCCUGGGUUUUCUGCCAAGAAACAUGUUUUCUGCAACUUUGGAGGCUUGUUCUUUUUGGCAUUACUUCUCUUAAUUCUGGCCAGCCCUUCUGAGUUGCUCCAAAGAGCUCCAGUGCCCAGGCAGCUGCCCUCUCCCUUUCAGCUCCUACAUCAUUAAGACAGGCUCAGGCCACUCUUUGGGCUCUGGAGUGACCUUCUUGGUGCUGAGUGGGAUGUCAGCUAACAGGCAGCACAGCGUUGGCCUGACCUUGGGGGGCGGUGCUGCAGUCUGGAGCCCCCGAGGGUGAGCGUGCAGCACAGCAACACGUUGUGGGCUCCCCUCCAUGCAAGUGAGCCAUGUGUGGGGCUUUGCCCUCAGCUCUCUCAGUCUUUGUCCCAGUCACUCCUGAGCCAUCCAAGGAUGGCUUCCAUGGAGCAGUGAGUGCCUCUCUCUCAGCAGUGCCAUCAUCCAUUCUUUACCAUGUCGUUCCUUUGGGAGAAGGUGCCAAAGAGCAGCUCUGCAGCUGCCUUUUCUGUCAGUUCCAGGGAUGCCUCCUCAGGCCAACAGGCAGGCCAGAGUCUCCCCCAACGGAACCUGCACCAACCAACAAGCAGCCACCUGCUCCAGGAGCUGAGGGGCCCGCCCCUGCUGAUCAAGCCUCAGAAAAUACUCAUCCCCAAGAGCCGCCUGCAUCUGAGCUCCCCUGGGAGAGCUGGGAGGAGCAGCAGCAAGAUGCCCAUCUCCCUGGGCUCCUGCCGUGCUCCUCUGAGCACAGCAGAGGUGUCCUGGAGCACGCUGCCCUCAUGGGAGUCAUCCCAACCCCAGCGUCUGUGGUGAGCAUGGCAUGGCAGGAAAGGGGAACUGUCACCAACUCACAGCCAUCUCUCCUAUCUUCUCCAUGCUCCCUAGACCCCAUCCCGACCUUUUCUAGUGUGGGCUGGAAAGUCCAGGCCAGGAUUCUAACUGCAAGCUCUGCCCCUGUCAGCGGCUCUCACUGUGUCCUCAGAAAGAUCUUUCUAACUCACUACAUCCUGUUUAUCACUGUGUCAUCAGAAAGGUCUUUCUCCAUAUCCAAUUUCUUAACAAAACUAGACUUAGGAAGGAAAAGAAUGUCCUGAGAAGGCUGAGUUUACAGCAAGGACUAAUGAGGUAUUGGAUGACUCUCUGUUCCUAUAAGUCUUUAGGAAGAGGACAGGCUGCCUGCCAUUGAAUAGGAGCACCUGGGGACAGCACAACUCUGAGGACAGCCCACUCAUAAUAUUUGCAGGGUCCAGGGCACAAGCACACAUGGAGGCCUACCCACCUUGCAUCCACUUAUUGAAAGGUUAUAAGUCAAGUUAGCAAACUGUGAAAUAAGUAUGUUCUAUCAUCCUGCCCUGACAAGUGCACCCUCAUAGCAACCUGCUAGCCGGCUGGCAUUUAGAAUUCCCUCACUCCUUGGAUUCUGUGCUCAAAUGCGGUGGCACAGAGAGAGCAGGCCUCAGCUCACAGCCCUGCUUUCCUCACUUGGCUCCACCACACAAGAUAAGAGCCUUGGGUGCACGCUAGUGGAUGCCCAGUCUGCACACCCAAGCUCUGUACACCCCUCCUCCAUGAACAUCUGCCCUUGGCCACUCCUUGGCUGGGCCUAGGGGUAGACACCUGGGGAAAUGGCCUGCACAGGCUCUGCAAGUGACCAUUUGGGCAGGAAGGCCAGGGUGUUGGAAUAAGAGUGUGGUCCUGGAAAGAGGGCUGUAGCUCCAGGUCAGAUGUCCCCUUGGACCCAUAGACUCCUUGCCACAUGCGGGGAGGGCAUACCCAGAAGAGGACUAGAGUGGAUCCCUCUAGCCAGGCCUAAAGGUGGUCCUGGGCACUUCAACCACUCACUCUGUCCUCUAUUGACAAGUGAUCAGAAGGUGGCCCUUUGAGCCUUGGAAAUGGUGCCUUUAUGUUCUCCUGUCCAUGUUCUCCCUCUCACCCCUGUGCUCCAAUGCUCUAUCAGUCAGACUCCCACCAGGAGACAAAGGGCACAAUCAGAUUAGAUAAUUUGCAAAGGUAGAGAUGGAAUAUAAGGCAACCACAAUGGAUAUGUAGUAACCCAGAGAUAGUAAGAGUGGAGGAGCCAUUUCGACUCUUAGGUCCAAGGACUAGGGGAGUGAAGAGAUACUGGAACCCAGGAGGAGAGAGUCAUGUGGAAAAGGAUGAUUUGCAAAGUGCAGGGACCUUGGUUGAGGGAUAUAACCAAGCUAAGGUGCCUCCCAGGUAGGGAGCCAGGAAAUUAAAGAUCAUGGCCUCACUCUCCUUCCUCCCUCUAAUUUCCUACUGGUGCUCUUCAUGGGCCAAACUCAACCAAGGCCAGACGGCACAGGAAGUUGAUGUAGCCCAUAAAGGUCGGCCUCCUGGGGCUGAGCAUAGGAUAGAGAGGGGUGAAGGUGGGUCUUGAAGGGAAACAGAAAAUAUCCGGCACAGACACUAAAUAAUGACUCGGAUAGAAAUGAUCAGUAACAG